GGUAGGGUGUUGGGCUCCUUUCUUUUCAAUUCUAAUAGGUGGUACCUAUUUUAAAAAAUGUUUCUAUAAUUUUACAUUAUUCAAUUUUAAUGAUUUAAUAAUUAAUGAUCAAUUUUGAUAAUUUCAUAUGCUAACACAGAGAUCGUAACUGAUCCAACAAUAAUGUUAACCACGUAUGCGCAACUAUUGGUUAGUUUGAGCUAGGAAUUUGCCAAGCUCGAGCUCGAGCUCUGUUACACGCUCUUGCUCCACCUGCGAUCAUCAAUCGAUCUGCUCGACGGUCGAUUGCGGAGCAUAGCGUAAGUCUGUACGCACCUAUACACUGCCAUUAUAACGUGAACCCCACUAUAUAUUUCUGUCAUUUGGUUUAAAUGCCUUUAAACUUUCAUUCUUGGCCUCUGAUAUGUGUUCCAUUAAUGUUAUUGAUCUCUUUCAAUCAAAAUUAUAUAAUUCUACUCAUUGAUUUCCAUUUUUCGUUUCAUUUCAGACAAAUUCGAGCUCAAUACUGAUAUUCUAACAGCCUGCAACAGGUGUGAGUCACUAAAAGAUAUCGGUUCAAAGGAGUUUCAGAAUGUUAGUGAGCUGUGGAUGCACUUGAAAUCAGUUGAAGAAGGCGUUGACAACAAGCUAAUCUCAUUCACUGAUUUGAAUGAACAGCAAAUGCAGCUGCUCCAUGACUACAAUGACAUGAAGGACUUGACUCAGUGCGUCUUCGGUCGACUGGCGACCAUUCUCGACGUGUCCGUUAGUCAAGUGCACAAAAAGUUUGAUCUUUAUGAUGCACUGACGAUGAUAUAGGAGAAGGCGAACAGCGUAGUGGAGCAGUACCUAGCCGUGCCCUCCUGGAUCCACCGACAUCUGAUCGGCAAAAGGGCGCCGACAUUCUCAAGACGAAGGAGGACAGCCCCAAGGUCUAUUUUGAAAAGAACAAGGACCGCCAGGAGAAGGACAAUCGUAUCAGAAUAGAAGGUACACACUACUUAACUAUCAAUGAAUUGAAACUUGUUCUGGUUUGGCGUUACAACCCAGUACGGGUCACAGCCUCGCUCAAUCUUCUCCUCCAAGCAUCUCUGUUCACCGCAUCCCUGCACUCCAACCUUGGCCGCAUCCUGGUCAACCACAUCCAUCCCCCCUCGUCUCCUUCCUUAUAUUUUCCCAUUCAUCGCCAUCUUGGGUGGGGCUGCUCGAAUCAGGUGUCCUGCCCAUCUUAGUCUGUGCACUGUGAAUAUAGUGAGGCUCACGUUAUAAUGGCAGUUUUGGAGAAAUAUAGGAGAACAACGUUGCCGAUCCUCAGUCUUGUCAAUUCCUCCUAUAGAUG